UAAAACGAUUUUUCGUGAUUAGCAAACACAAAGGUUUUACCAUGAAUAGAAGGCUGAAAAGAACGUACUAUGUUGUCAUGAAAUGUAAGGGAGGAGAUAAAGGAUUUAGCAUUGAUUAAAGGAGCACCAGCACGAGAGGCCGGUCUGUGAAGCUUCAAAUAAGGAGUGUUAGAGGAAGAAAAGUUGUGGGACUUUCGUUUACUAUUGCGAUAAUUUUCAAGAAUUGAGGGGACAUCUCUAUUCUCUUCAACAUGAUGAACGCCAUGAAUUUUCUUAAGUUCUUCAAUAUAUUCUCGUGGAUAGGGGUAAUCCCAACGGGAGAAUUGAGCAAUAUUUAUCCGCAUAAAGAACAGACGUUUUACAGGCGUGUUUGGAUCUAAAGGUGAACCGGUAAUUUGAGGAGUAGAACGUGAUGAACUGCCUAAUUGAAAUUCAUCCUUCAAAACAUAUUCUCCCUCGCGAGCAGUUAAAAACAGAACCGGACGGGCAAUUCCAGAAGACAUCGUUUGCAUAAUAUAGUUAGGU